rnacentral:rRNA from 1 species
GAUGAACGCUGGCGGCGUGCCUAAUACAUGCAGGUAGAACGCUGAAGGAAGGAGCUUGCUCUUUCCGGAUGAGUUGCGAACGGGUGAGUAACGCGUAGGUAACCUGCCUGGUAGCGGGGGAUAACUAUUGGAAACGAUAGCUAAUACCGCAUAACAGUAGAUGUUGCAUGAUAUCUACUUAAAAGGUGCAAUUGCACCACUACCAGAUGGACCUGCGUUGUAUUAGCUAGUUGGUGAGGUAACGGCUCACCAAGGCGACGAUACAUAGCCGACCUGAGAGGGUGAUCCGCCACCCUGGGACGGAGACACGGCCCAGACUCCUACGGGAGGCAGCAGUAGGGAAUCUUCGGCAAUGGACGGAAGUCUGACCGAGCAACGCCGCGUGAGUGAAGAAGGUUUUCGGAUCGUAAAGCUCUGUUGUAAGAGAAGAACGAGUGUGAGAGUGGAAAGUUCACACUGUGACGGUAGCUUACCAGAAAGGGACGGCUAACUACGUG